UUGGAGGGCAAGUCUGGUGCCCGCAGCCGCGGUAAUUCCAGCUCCAAUAGCGUAUAUUAAAGUUGCUGCAGUUAAAAAGCUCGUAGUUGAAUUUCGGGACCAUCAUGUCGGUCGUGCCUCGGUACGUACUGGCAUUGUUGGUUUCUCCCUUCUGACGAACCAUGAUGUCAUUUAUUUGGUGUUGUGGGGAAUCAGGACUGUUACUUUGAAAAAAUUAGAGUGUUUAAAGCAGGC
rnacentral:rRNA from 1 species